GUCGUUUCUCAUCUCAUCUUGGCCAUCCCUCCAGGAACUGGCAUGCAGCCGCCAGUCCAUCACAUCGUUGGGCGACUUUAAUUUGUUGCAAGGCCCAGCGAUACUUUGAUGCGGCGACCAGAAGGCAGAAGCAUCCAUCGAUGGCGGAAUCCAUUCUGUCAUUUGGAUCGAUAUGUUCAUAUCAAUCUAAUUCCUUGCGGAUUACAGAUCUACUGACCAUAUCCUCUUACCUUGAGGCGUUUCUCGAGCUGCUCCCCCCUAAUUCAUCUGCUGGCACCGUCCCUAGAUAUGACAGGAAAAGUGUCAUGCAGAUCCGCCUAGGCAUCACAUUUAAUUUCUCUCUGUGAAUAGGAACAUCCGUCGAUGGGAUCUAGGUAGCACACUGCAUCUCUUGGAAGCUACGUUUGCAUUCGCCUAUAUCAUCCACGGGUCCGCGUGUCCAUGGUUCAUUCCUACGACGACCACGAAGCAUUGGGUGCACCGAUGAGGCGAUGACCAAAAAAAAGACGAGAGAUAAAUGCUGGUAAUAAAAUAAUAUACUCGUAAUAAUGUAUGAGACAAUACUCUUGUCAAAAAACUAUAUACAUAUACUAAGCAAACUUCUGUGUAUUUACAUAUACAUAUACAUACACUCAUUUGUCAAAAAACUAUGUACAUAUACUAAGCAAACUUCUGUGUAUCUACAUAUACAUAUA